rnacentral:lncRNA from 1 species
AUGCGCCGCCGCCGCCGCCGCGGGGAGGGAGGGGGCGGGGAGGGGCGCGGCGGGCGGGGCGGGGGCGGGGGCGGGGCCGGCUCAGCCGCGGGACUCGCGCGGGUCAGCGGCGCGCGGGGCCGCCCCGGAGUGUGCUGGGCCGGGACCCGCCGGGAGCCGCGCGCCGCAUGGUCCCCGCGAGCGCGAGUCGCUGCGGUCCUCGGGGCGGGGCGGGGCGGGGCGGGGGGGCUCCGGAGCCGCGGGGCUCAGGCGGCUACCUCGGGGCGCUCCGUGCGGCUCUCUCUAACCCGCUUUCCCCGGCCCGUGGAAGGAGGUCUGCGCGCGCCCUUCCUCCCCAGCCGCCCCGGCUUCGGCCCGCGAGGCCACUGCGAGGCCAGUGUCGGGGGGCGGCGGGGACCCGGGGCCCGGGGGGGGGGGGGGGGAGGCGCGUCCGGCCCGCGCUGCCCGGGGCGCUCGAAGGAGCUGCUGCUGCUGCUGCUGCCCGGCUCUGCCUUCCCGGGCCCCCGAGUCUGCGAAAGUUGGGGACGGGGUCGUAGCUCCCGCCGCGCUGGGCGCGUUCCUCGCGGCCCCCUGCCCCGCCGGGCUCCGCCGUGGCGUCCGGGCCACCCCCGGGUUCCGCUCGAGCGCCGGGCGGCGGUGCAGGGUGGCUGCCGGCGCCCCGUCCUGGAGCCUGCGGAGCGGAGCUCGCCGCUGCCCGGGGUCGCGGGGACGCGGGGACGCCAGCCCGGCCGGGCCUCUGCGCGCGCGGCCCUGCCCUCCGGGGAGCGGAGUCGGUCGAGCUUCCCGGUCUUGCUCAGCGCCGGGGCGAACGCCUGGGCGUGGGGGCGCGGGCGGCAGGUGCACCAGACCCAGAGCCUCGCCUACAUCUCCGUGUCAUCCGACCGCGUCCCCUCUUCCCGGGGCUUAGAGAAUUUGCGUCCAGGUACUUGGUGGAGCAAGUUCACGGUCCUCCCGGUCUUCGCAGAAGGGCGAUUCAACUUCCCACCUGGGCUAUUUCAGGACCUACGCCGGGCGCCGGUGGGGAGCGCCAGCCGCGAGCCCCGGACCUCGGAGACGGACGACUGGUGA